rnacentral:rRNA from 1 species
GACGAACGCUGGCGGCGUGCUUAACACAUGCAAGUCGAACGAGUGGCGAACGGGUGAGUAAUACGUGAGUAACCUGCCCUCUUUUUGGGAUAAGCCUUGGAAACGGGGUCUAAUACCGCAUAACGGGGGAUGGGCUCGCGGCCUAUCAGCUUGUUGGUGGGGUGAUGGCGUCCCAAGGCGGUGACGGGUAGCCGGCCUGAGAGGGUGAACUGCCACUGUGGGACGGAGCUGCGGCCCAGGCUACGACGGGGGGGGGCAGUGGGGGAUAUUGCAGAAUGGGCGAAAGACUGAUGCAGCGACGCCGCGGGGGGGAUGAAGGCUGUCGGGUUGUAAACCUCUUGCGCUAUCGAAUGGGUAGGUGGAUAGGAAGCGCCGGCUAACUACGUGCCAGCAGCCGCGGUAAUUC